CAUAGCCUUAGAAUAUAUCUAAGGUGAAACCUGCCCAAUGAUUUUAAAUUAAAAAUAUAAAAAAAAUAUUUAAUAAAAUUUAAAGGACGCGGUAACCUUGACCGUGAUAAUGUAGCAUAAUCACUCGCCAUUUAAUUGAUGGAUAGUAUGAAUGGUUAAACGAAUAUUCCACUGUCUUAAAUAGAAAUAAAUAAAAAUUAAAAUAAUAGUAAAGAUGCUAUUUAAAAUUGUAAGACGAAAAGACCCUAUAGAGCUUAACUAUAAUCUUUUUAUAAUCUAAAAAGAUUGGUAGUUUAGUUGGGGCGACUGUCUUUUAAAUAUAACAAAGACAAGCAAAAUUAAUAUAAAAAUUUACUGUAUAAUUAAUAAAUUUAACAGUUACAAAAGUAGGCUAUAAUGACCAGUUAUAAAAAUAUAAUAAAUAUAACUAUCAAUAAAUAAAAGCUACCUUAGGGAUAACAGGAUAAUUUCAUUUUAGAGAUCUAAUCAAAAAUGAAGUUUGUCACCUCUAUGUUGAAUUAAGAUAUCCCAACAAUGCAGAAGUUGUUAAAGGUAGGUCUGUUCGACCUUUAAAAUCUCACAUGAU
rnacentral:rRNA from 1 species